rnacentral:rRNA from 1 species
CACGUAGGGCGCAAGCGUUGUCCGGAAUUAUUGGGCGUAAAGAGCUCGUAGGCGGCUUGGCAAGUCGGGUGUGAAACCUCCAGGCUCAACCUGGAGACGCCACUCGAUACUGCCAUGGCUAGAGUCCGGUAGGGGACCACGGAAUUCCUGGUGUAGCGGUGAAAUGCGCAGAUAUCAGGAGGAACACCGGUGGCGAAGGCGGUGGUCUGGGCCGGCACUGACGCUGAGGAGCGAAAGCGUGGGUAGCAAACAGG